GAAGGCAUGGCUCAAGUGGUAGAACACCUGCCCAGCAAGCAGGAGUCCCUGAGUUCAAUCUUCAGUACCACCA
rnacentral:tRNA from 1 species